GGUUAAGCGACUAAGCGUACACGGUGGAUGCCUAGGCAGUCAGAGGCGAUGAAGGGCGUGCUAAUCUGCGAAAAGCGUCGGUAAGCUGAUAUGAAGCGUUAUAACCGACGAUACCCGAAUGGGGAAACCCAGUGCAAUACGUUGCACUAUCGUUAGAUGAAUACAUAGUCUAACGAGGCGAACCGGGGGAACUGAAACAUCUAAGUACCCCGAGGAAAAGAAAUCAACCGAGAUUCCCCCAGUAGCGGCGAGCGAACGGGGAGGAGCCCAGAGUCUGAAUCAGUUUGUGUGUUAGUGGAAGCGUCUGGAAAGUCGCACGGUACAGGGUGAUAGUCCCGUACACCAAAAUGCACAGGCUGUGAACUCGAUGAGUAGGGCGGGACACGUGACAUCCUGUCUGAAUAUGGGGGGACCAUCCUCCAAGGCUAAAUACUCCUGACUGACCGAUAGUGAACCAGUACCGUGAGGGAAAGGCGAAAAGAACCCCGGCGAGGGGAGUGAAAUAGAACCUGAAACCGUGUACGUACAAGCAGUGGGAGCACCUUCGUGGUGUGACUGCGUACCUUUUGUAUAAUGGGUCAGCGACUUAUAUUUUGUAGCAAGGUUAACCGAAUAGGGGAGCCGUAGGGAAACCGAGUCUUAACUGGGCGUCUAGUUGCAAGGUAUAGACCCGAAACCCGGUGAUCUAGCCAUGGGCAGGUUGAAGGUUGGGUAACACUAACUGGAGGACCGAACCGACUAAUGUUGAAAAAUUAGCGGAUGACUUGUGGCUGGGGGUGAAAGGCCAAUCAAACCGGGAGAUAGCUGGUUCUCCCCGAAAGCUAUUUAGGUAGCGCCUCGUGAACUCAUCUUCGGGGGUAGAGCACUGUUUCGGCUAGGGGGCCAUCCCGGCUUACCAAACCGAUGCAAACUCCGAAUACCGAAGAAUGUUAUCACGGGAGACACACGGCGGGUGCUAACGUCCGUCGUGAAGAGGGAAACAACCCAGACCGCCAGCUAAGGUCCCAAAGUCAUGGUUAAGUGGGAAACGAUGUGGGAAGGCACAGACAGCCAGGAUGUUGGCUUAGAAGCAGCCAUCAUUUAAAGAAAGCGUAAUAGCUCACUGGUCGAGUCGGCCUGCGCGGAAGAUGUAACGGGGCUAAACCAUGCACCGAAGCUGCGGCAGCGACGUUUAGGCGUUGUUGGGUAGGGGAGCGUUCUGUAAGCCGUUGAAGGUGACCUGUGAGGGUUGCUGGAGGUAUCAGAAGUGCGAAUGCUGACAUAAGUAACGAUAAUGCGGGUGAAAAACCCGCACGCCGGAAGACCAAGGGUUCCUGUCCAACGUUAAUCGGGGCAGGGUGAGUCGACCCCUAAGGCGAGGCUGAAAAGCGUAGUCGAUGGGAAACAGGUUAAUAUUCCUGUACUUGGUGUUACUGCGAAGGGGGGGACGGAGAAGGCUAGGCUGGCCGGGCGACGGUUGUCCCGGUUUAAGCGUGUAGGGGGAGUGACCAGGUAAAUCCGGUUGCUUAUCAACCCUGAGGCGUGAUGACGAUGCACCACGGUGCAGAAGCAGUUGAUGCCAUGCUUCCAGGAAAAGCCUCUAAGCAUCAGGUAACAUUAAAUCGUACCCCAAACCGACACAGGUGGUCAGGUAGAGAAUACUCAGGCGCUUGAGAGAACUCGGGUGAAGGAACUAGGCAAAAUGGUGCCGUAACUUCGGGAGAAGGCACGCUGGCGUUAGGUGAAAGGACUAGCUCCUGGAGCUGAAGCCAGUCGCAGAUACCAGCUGGCUGCAACUGUUUAAUAAAAACACAGCACUGUGCAAACACGAAAGUGGACGUAUACAGUGUGACGCCUGCCCGGUGCUGGAAGGUUAAUUGAUGGGGUCAGCCGCAAGGCGAAGCUCUUGAUCGAAGCCCCAGUAAACGGCGGCCGUAACUAUAACGGUCCUAAGGUAGCGAAAUUCCUUGUCGGGUAAGUUCCGACCUGCACGAAUGGCGUAAUGAUGGCCAGGCUGUCUCCACCCGAGACUCAGUGAAAUUGAACUCGCUGUGAAGAUGCAGUGUACCCGCGGCAAGACGGAAAGACCCCGUGAACCUUUACUAUAGCUUGACACUGAACAUUGAGCCUUGAUGUGUAGGAUAGGUGGGAGGCCUUGAAGUGUGGACGCCAGUCUGCAUGGAGCCAACCUUGAAAUACCACCCUUUAAUGUUUGAUGUUCUAACUCGGCCCCAUGAUCUGGGGUGAGGACAGUGUCUGGUGGGUAGUUUGACUGGGGCGGUCUCCUCCCAAAGAGUAACGGAGGAGCACGAAGGUUAGCUAAUCACGGUCGGACAUCGUGAGGUUAGUGCAAAGGCAUAAGCUAGCUUGACUGCGAGAGUGACGGCUCGAGCAGGUACGAAAGUAGGUCUUAGUGAUCCGGUGGUUCUGAAUGGAAGGGCCAUCGCUCAACGGAUAAAAGGUACUCCGGGGAUAACAGGCUGAUACCGCCCAAGAGUUCAUAUCGACGGCGGUGUUUGGCACCUCGAUGUCGGCUCAUCACAUCCUGGGGCUGAAGUAGGUCCCAAGGGUAUGGCUGUUCGCCAUUUAAAGUGGUACGCGAGCUGGGUUUAGAACGUCGUGAGACAGUUCGGUCCCUAUCUGCCGUGGGCGUUGGAAGAUUGAGAGGGGCUGCUCCUAGUACGAGAGGACCGGAGUGGACGAAUCACUGGUGUUCGGGUUGUCAUGCCAAUGGCAUUGCCCGGUAGCUAAAUUCGGAAGAGAUAACCGCUGAAAGCAUCUAAGCGGGAAACUUGCCUCGAGAUGAGUCUUCCCUGGGGCUUAAAGCCCCCUGAAGGAACGUUAAAGACUAUGACGUUGAUAGGCUGGGUGUGUAAGUGCAGCGAUGUAUUGAGCUAACCAGUACUAAUGAUCCGUGAGGCUUAACCUU
rnacentral:rRNA from 1 species